rnacentral:misc_RNA from 1 species
CAAUAAUUGCAAAAUCGGUAUGUAUUUGCAAGGUUGCUUGUGUUCAGUUGUGACUAAUUUCAGUUGGUACCACUUGAUCAGUUCGAUUUGUCGUCCCGAAAUUGCUUCUUCGAAUGUUUAUCGAAUAGUGUAUUAGAGUUUAUUGAAGGAUUCGUUCGUUGUGUUUCGUACGAGAUACAUAGUUAUUUGACAGUAAGACAGUUUUCUCGGGAAUUUAUAGUGAUUUUCACAGUGAUUGUUGUACGUGUUUUCUAUCAUUUUACGCACGUUCUUUUUUGGAAAGUGUACGAUUAAUCUAUAUGGACAAAGAUUCGCGAUCGUUCAAAAUGCGAAGAAUGUUAUUGGACUUUCGGAUCCAUCGGGAUCAAGAGAAUGAAAAUAUCGAUGCGACUCCACGGCGCAGAAGCUGCGUUAGAUUCCCGCGAGUACGGUUGCUAGACUUCAAACCGGUUUCUUACGCGGUAGUCGAGAGACUUGGUCGACGGUUGGGCG